rnacentral:rRNA from 1 species
ACUCCUACGGGAGGCAGCAGUGGGGAAUAUUGGACAAUGGGGGGAACCCUGAUCCAGCCAUGCCGCGUGCGUGAAGAAGGCCUUAUGGUUGUAAAGCACUUUAAGCGAGGAGGAGGCUCUUUUGGUUAAUACCCAAGAUGAGUGGACGUUACUCGCAGAAUAAGCACCGGCUAACUCUGUGCCAGCAGCCGCGGUAAU